rnacentral:sRNA from 1 species
GUUCUACUCCUUCGAAGGGCUAAUUGGCGCGGGCAAGACCACCCUGCUCCGCAAGCUGGAGGAACGAGGAGUCGCCAUCAUCCCCGAGCCGCUCGACAGGUGGGAGAAGA